rnacentral:rRNA from 1 species
UACAGAGGGGGCAAGCGUUGUUCGGAAUUACUGGGCGUAAAGGGCGCGUAGGCGGCCUUCUAAGUCGAACGUGAAAUCCCCGGGCUCAACCCGGGAACUGCGUCCGAUACUGGAAGGCUUGAAUCCGGGAGAGGGAUGCGGAAUUCCAGGUGUAGCGGUGAAAUGCGUAGAUAUCUGGAGGAACACCGGUGGCGAAGGCGGCUCACUGGCUCGUAUCUGACGCUCAGGCGCGACAGCGUGGGGAUCAAACAGG